GACGUAGGGCGCGAGCGUUGUCCGGAUUUAUUGGGCGUAAAGAGCUCGUAGGCGGCUUGUCGCGUCGUCCGUGAAAACCCAUGGCUCAACUGUGGGCUUGCGGUCGAUACGGGCAUGACUGGAGUUCGGCAGGGGAGACUGGAAUUCCUGGUGUAGCGGUGAAAUGCGCAGAUAUCAGGAGGAACACCGGUGGCGAAGGCGGGUCUCUGGGCCGAUACUGACGCUGAGGAGCGAAAGCGUGGGGAGCGAACAGG
rnacentral:rRNA from 1 species